rnacentral:rRNA from 1 species
UUGCAUAAGUUUUCGGUUAAAUCUAUGCGCUUAACGUAUAGCCCGCCGAAAAUGGUGUGCAGCUAGGGAGUGGGAGAGGUACACGGUACUCGAUAGGAAAGGGAUAAAAUCCUUUCAUCUGAUGUAGACCAGCCCACGUCUGACGCAGUCGAUCUAAGCCGACACGUUCGACGAUGAGUGAUGAAAGCUGGGGGGAGCAAACCAGGAUUAGAUACCCCGGGUAGUCCCAGCUGUAAACGAUGCAGACUCGGUGAUGCAUUGGCUUGUGGCCAAUGCAGUGCCGCAGGGAAGCCGUUAAGUCUGCCGCCUGGGAAGUACGUACGCAAGUAUGAAACUUAAAGGAUUGGCGGGGGAGCACCACAAGGGGUGAAGCCUCGGUCAAUUGGAGUCACCAG